AGAGUUUGAUCCUGGCUCAGGAUGAACGCUGGCGGCGUGCCUAAUACAUGCAAGUCGAGCGAACGGACGAGAAGCUUGCUUCUCUGAUGUUAGCGGCGGACGGGUGAGUAACACGUGGAUAACCUACCUAUAAGACUGGGAUAACUUCGGGAAACCGGAGCUAAUACCGGAUAAUAUUUUGAACCGCAUGGUUCAAAAGUGAAAGACGGUCUUGCUGUCACUUAUAGAUGGAUCCGCGCUGCAUUAGCUAGUUGGUAAGGUAACGGCUUACCAAGGCAACGAUGCAUAGCCGACCUGAGAGGGUGAUCGGCCACACUGGAACUGAGACACGGUCCAGACUCCUACGGGAGGCAGCAGUAGGGAAUCUUCCGCAAUGGGCGAAAGCCUGACGGAGCAACGCCGCGUGAGUGAUGAAGGUCUUCGGAUCGUAAAACUCUGUUAUUAGGGAAGAACAUAUGUGUAAGUAACUGUGCACAUCUUGACGGUACCUAAUCAGAAAGCCACGGCUAACUACGUGCCAGCAGCCGCGGUAAUACGUAGGUGGCAAGCGUUAUCCGGAAUUAUUGGGCGUAAAGCGCGCGUAGGCGGUUUUUUAAGUCUGAUGUGAAAGCCCACGGCUCAACCGUGGAGGGUCAUUGGAAACUGGAAAACUUGAGUGCAGAAGAGGAAAGUGGAAUUCCAUGUGUAGCGGUGAAAUGCGCAGAGAUAUGGAGGAACACCAGUGGCGAAGGCGACUUUCUGGUCUGUAACUGACGCUGAUGUGCGAAAGCGUGGGGAUCAAACAGGAUUAGAUACCCUGGUAGUCCACGCCGUAAACGAUGAGUGCUAAGUGUUAGGGGGUUUCCGCCCCUUAGUGCUGCAGCUAACGCAUUAAGCACUCCGCCUGGGGAGUACGACCGCAAGGUUGAAACUCAAAGGAAUUGACGGGGACCCGCACAAGCGGUGGAGCAUGUGGUUUAAUUCGAAGCAACGCGAAGAACCUUACCAAAUCUUGACAUCCUUUGACAACUCUAGAGAUAGAGCCUUCCCCUUCGGGGGACAAAGUGACAGGUGGUGCAUGGUUGUCGUCAGCUCGUGUCGUGAGAUGUUGGGUUAAGUCCCGCAACGAGCGCAACCCUUAAGCUUAGUUGCCAUCAUUAAGUUGGGCACUCUAAGUUGACUGCCGGUGACAAACCGGAGGAAGGUGGGGAUGACGUCAAAUCAUCAUGCCCCUUAUGAUUUGGGCUACACACGUGCUACAAUGGACAAUACAAAGGGCAGCGAAACCGCGAGGUCAAGCAAAUCCCAUAAAGUUGUUCUCAGUUCGGAUUGUAGUCUGCAACUCGACUACAUGAAGCUGGAAUCGCUAGUAAUCGUAGAUCAGCAUGCUACGGUGAAUACGUUCCCGGGUCUUGUACACACCGCCCGUCACACCACGAGAGUUUGUAACACCCGAAGCCGGUGGAG
rnacentral:rRNA from 2 species